UACGUAGGGUGCAAGCGUUGUCCGGAAUUAUUGGGCGUAAAGAGCUCGUAGGCGGUCUGUUGCGUCGGCUGUGAAAACCCGGGGCUCAACUCCGGGCCUGCAGCCGAUACGGGCAGACUAGAGUUCGGCAGGGGAGACUGGAAUUCCUGGUGUAGCGGUGAAAUGCGCAGAUAUCAGGAGGAACACCGGUGGCGAAGGCGACUACCUGGCCUGUUCUUGACGCUGAGGCGCGAAAGCUAGGGGAGCAAACGGG
rnacentral:rRNA from 1 species